AUGCCUCAUCGGAUCGACCGUACACAUCAGUUGAUGAGAAAGCAACCUGAUAGGGGAUUUUGCCGGCUGGAGCGUCUUCCUUUUCUUUUCAUCGCUGGAGAUCUCGAACAGCACUCAUACCAAGAGAGAGGAGGAAGGAUGUUGCUGCCGGGUAUUCGCGGCAUGUCAUGCCGGCAGAGAUGGCGCAGCUGCCCUAGGGCAACUUCUCUGCUGUUCCUUUUUCCCCGGCAGAAGAGGUUGCCAACGUUAAUUUUUUGGCCGAUGCUUGGGCUGCGUCACUGGGUCGCGACGGUGCCAGAGGACGAGGGCGGCGAGGCCGGGUGCCGCGGCACCGCGUUGGCCCCGGCCGGUGAAGGGGGCGAAGAAGGGCGGCUUCCCUGGCCCUGGGAGUUGGUGCGGUGGAAGCGGCACUUGAAGGACCCGGCGUGGGUGGCCGGCGCGCAGACGCACUUGGAAGCGGGCCCGUGGCCCGCACCGAACGGCGCCGACGCCGACCCGGGCCACCUCCUCCGCUUGAUCUUGAUCCCCAAAUUACAUGAUCUCGUUGGCUCCUUCACGCAUGCCUCUCCAAUGACCGUGGGCGGCCGCCGCAGCGCAUCGCCUUCAGACUUGCUGUCCCGGACUCCCGGCGCCGGUGAUCUUUGGCUGGACUCUGAACGUGAGACAUCCUGCAAAUCGCAUACCAAUUUUCCAGUAGUACGUGAUGAUGUGCGAAGAGCAUACCUCCUGAGAGGCCCGUUCCAACCAACAGGACAUGCUUUCCUUCAAACAGAUUUCAGUGGAGUUCAAUGUCGUUUUAAUGAAGAGUGGUUCAAGGAUCAUAAGUCUUGGUUGGAGUACAGUACAAAGGAAAAUGCAGCAUUUUGUCUUUGUUGCUAUUUGUUUCAGAAUGAAAGUCUAGGCCAUGGUGGUGGAGAUGUAUUUUCAACAAAGGGGUGGAAAAGUUGGAAUAAUGUAAAGAGAUUGGAUAUUCAUGUUGGCGGUCCUUCAAGUACUCAUAAUCAGAACAUGAAGAGAUGUGAUGAUCUAAUGAACCAGAAGCAAUCCAUUGGAGCUGUCUUACACAAGGGAACAAAGAAAUCCAAUAUAGAGUACCAAACUCGGCUGAUUGCGUCAAUAGAUAUUGCAAGGUUGCUUCUUGUUUUGGGCUUGCCAUUUCGAGGUCAUGAUGAAAGCGAGUCUUCUUUGAGGAAGGGGAAUUUUCUAACUUUUUAUGAGUGGUAUGCUGCACGUUGUCCUGAUGUGGCUGCUGUUGCUUUGAAGAAUGCUCCUCAGAAUUUAAAGUUGGUUUCUUCGACUAUCCAGAAACAUAUUGUGAAAGCUUGUGCGAUAGAAACAGUGAAAGCAUUUGACUUUGUUUUCAUGAUGCACUUGAUGAAGGCUAUACUUGGGAUUACUAAUGAUCUAAGCGUUGCUUUGCAAAGGAAGGAUCAGGACAUUGUGAAUGCCGUGUCGUAUCUUCACACAACCAAAAGAAGGCUACAGGAAAUGAGAAACCAAGGUUGGGAAGAGAUUGAUGACCGCUUUAGUGAAAGCAGCACAACCUUGCUUCUUGGGAUGGCUUCUUUGGAUCCUUCUGAUUUGUUUGCUAAUUUUGACAAAGAAAAAGUGUUAGCAAUGGCUCGUUUGUAUCCAGAUGAUUUUGGGAGUGAAAGCAAGAUUGAAGAUCUUAGUGUCCAACUUGAUAACUUCCUUGAAAAUGUUCGUGAUGAUUCAAGAAUCUCCAAUUUGAAAGGGGUUAGUGAUCUUUGCAGAAAACUGGUCGAGACAAAGAAGUACAAUACCUUUCCUCUAGUAUUCCUUUUGGUAAAGCUAGCAUUGAUCUUGCCGGUGGCGACGGCAACAGUUGAGAGAGCAUUUUCCGCAAUGAAAUAUAUCAAGUCUGAUUUGCGCAAUAGAAUAGGCGAUGAUUUCUUGUACCAUUGUCUCAUAACUUAUGUUGAAACCGAUGUAUUUCAGUCUAUUAGUACUGAUGCUAUUAUGCAUACAUAUCAAUCUAGAACUGCAUGGGAAGCAAAUAAUCCGAGGACUGAAGAGCCAUGUAUGCUCGUCAGCACCUACCCACGACGUGGUCGCUGCAAGGGAGGUGUAGAAAAUCGCACCGCCCCCACAACCAGACAGCAGCCAACUAGCUAG
rnacentral:rRNA from 1 species